GACGAACGCUGGCGGCGUGCUUAACACAUGCAAGUCGAACGAAGUGGCGAACGGGUGAGUAACGCGUAAUCAACCUGCCCCUCAGAGGGGGACAACAGUUGGAAACGACUGCUAUUACCGCAUACUGAAGGAGGGGAAUGCGUCUGAUUAGCUAGCUGGAGGGGGAACGGCCCACCAAGGCGAUGAUCAGUAGCCGGUCUUAGAGGAUGAACGGCCACAAUGGGACUGAGGCACUGCCCAGACUCCUACGGGUGGCAGCAGUGGGGAAUCUUCCGCAAUGGACGGAAGUCUGACGGAGCAACGCCGCGUGGGUGAUAACGGCCUUCGGGUUGUAAAGCUCUGUUAAUCGGGACGCGGUACCGGAAUAGAAAGCCACGGCUAACUACGUGCCAGCAGCCGCGGUAAUAC
rnacentral:rRNA from 1 species